GCAAACUGUGGUUCUGGGCCAUUUCCCAGGAACCUGGGUAUGGAUCUGGCCGGAGCCCAUCCACGGGGCCAGUAUUUAAUUAAAGCUUGCUUCAGAUUUGGCUUUAAACUUUGGUAGUGGUCUCUUUCUUGAUCAGCGGGAUUAACAUAUUCUGGAGGACUAUCCCUUUAUACUGUGCACAUCUGUGUUGCUGUGAUUGGCUUAACAAAGACGCUGACUGGCCAGUAGCUGAACAAGAGAAGGUUAGGCAGGAGAGCCAGACUGAGAAUUCUGGAAGGAAGAGGGCAGAGCUGGAGAGUCCCCAGGAAAUGCAGAGAGAGCAAGACAUGCUGGGGGACAGAAAAUGGAAAUCUAUGGAUUCCUUCUAGACUAAUAUGGUUUGAUCAAGCAAGACCCCCUGAAGCAGUGGCCCAACUGAUCCUACAUGCGAAACAGCUGAGAUGAUGCAGUCAUAGACCACUACAGCCAGAUUUCUGUGCUUUAUCAUGACCCCCAUGGGAUGGACAUCACCCCCCCCCCCAACCAGCAGGAAGCAGUUUGGAAUGAACGUCCAAAUUCCCAAAUAUUGUUUAUCAAUGUUUGUUUUCAUUUAAAUGGGGCUGGUUAUAAAUGGUAAUGAUCACAGUCAAUCUCUUUUUAAAGGGAAAAAGGGGAAUAGGAUAUAGAAAUGAAUACUUUCCAUUGAUAUGGAUUUUCAUUUAUUGAUACAACUUUAAGGUCAAUUUUGUGAUAUGUAUAUUUCUCCUCUUGUUUAGGUAUUGUGUUUAUACAGAUCUUUUAAGUGAAAUGCAUAAUUAAAUAUGGAUUAUAUAGUCACCUAUAACAGUCAGAACUUAUAAUUAGGUUAGUUAGCUUUUCUAGAUAUACAGAGAUGUAUUUGAGAUGGAUAGAUAUUCUUCAAACCUUUCAAAGACCUACAGAAUAUAUGGUAUUUAAAUGGUUUAGGGUUUUUCUUGACAGUGAGACACAACUGCUCCUGGCACACCAAUUACGUCUGAGAGGAAGAUGGGCAUCGAAGAAACUCAAUAUGGAGUUUGCCUUCAACAUGGCAAGAUUAGCCAUUUGGGCAAGAAACUGCUCUUGCCUGGACUGUUUGAUAAACUGGACAUUCAGGAUUCACAGGAAAGUGACUGCUGAACUUGCAAAACAAGACAGUCCUGAAGGGUUCCUGUUUCAUGGAGAAAUCUGCCAGACACACUGUGGCCUAUAGGCUGAAGAUGGAUGCCCCAACAUUACAGAGGAACUUUGGGUGACUGUCCAGGUAGAGAGA
rnacentral:lncRNA from 1 species